rnacentral:rRNA from 1 species
GACGUAGGAGGCGAGCGUUGUCCGGAGUUACUGGGCGUAAAGCGCGCGCAGGCGGCCCCUGUACGCUGCCCGGUGAAAGCUCCCGGCUUACCUGGGAGAGGUUCGGCAGUACGGCAGGGGCUGGAGGGUGGGAGAGGUCGGUGGAAUUCCCGGUGUAGUGGUGAAAUGCGUAGAGAUCGGAGGAACACCCGUAGCGAAGGCGGCUCACUGCCCGAUACUGACGCUGAGGCACGAAAGCGUGGGGAGCAA